CAGCACCUCAAGUGGUCAGGAUGAUUAUUGGGCCUAAAGCAUCCGUAGCCGGCGCUGUAAGUUUUCGGUUAAAUCUGUACGCUCAACGUACAGGCUGCCGGGAAUACUGCAGCGCUAGGGAGUGGGAGAGGUAGACGGUACUCGGUAGGAAGGGGUAAAAUCCUUUGAUCUAUUGAUGACCACCUGUGGCGAAGGCGGUCUACCAGAACACGUCCGACGGUGAGGGAUGAAAGCUAGGGGAUCAAAGCGGAUUAGAGACCCGUGUAGUCC
rnacentral:rRNA from 1 species